CCUACGGGCGGCAGCAGUCGAGAAUCAUUCACAAUGGGGGAAACCCUGAUGGUGCGACGCCGCGUGGGGGAAUGAAGGUCUUCGGAUUGUAAACCCCUGUUAUGUGGGAGCAAAUUAAAAAGAUAGUACCACAAGAGGAAGAGACGGCUAACUCUGUGCCAGCAGCCGCGGUAAUACAGAGGUCUCAAGCGUUGUUCGGAAUCACUGGGCGUAAAGCGUGCGUAGGCUGUUUCGUAAGUCGUGUGUGAAAGGCGCGGGCUCAACCCGCGGACGGCACAUGAUACUGCGAGACUAGAGUAAGGGAGGGGGAACCGGAAUUCUCGGUGUAGCAGUGAAAUGCGUAGAUAUCGAGAGGAACACUCGUGGCGAAGGCGGGUUCCUGGACAUUAACUGACGCUGAGGCACGAAGGCCAGGGGAGCGAAAGGGAUUAGAUACCCCAGUAGUC
rnacentral:rRNA from 1 species